rnacentral:rRNA from 1 species
AUUGAACGCUGGCGGCAGGCCUAACACAUGCAAGUCGAGCGGAUGAAGGGAGCUUGCUCCUGGAUUCAGCGGCGGACGGGUGAGUAAUGCCUAGGAAUCUGCCUGGUAGUGGGGGAUAACGUCCGGAAACGGGCGCUAAUACCGCAUACGUCCCGAGGGAGAAAGUGGGGGAUCUUCGGACCUCACGCUAUCAGAUGAGCCUAGGUCGGAUUAGCUAGUUGGUGGGGUAAAGGCCUACCAAGGCGACGAUCCGUAACUGGUCUGAGAGGAUGAUCAGUCACACUGGAACUGAGACACGGUCCAGACUGCUACGGGAGGCAGCAGUGGGGAAUAUUGGACAAUGGGCGAAAGCCUGAUCCAGCCAUGCCGCGUGUGUGAAGAAGGUCUUCGGAUUGUAAAGCACUUUAAGUUGGGAGGAAGGGCAGUAAGUUAAUACCUUGCUGUUUUGACGUUACCAACAGAAUAAGCACCGGCUAACUUCGUG